CGCCGGCCUGGUCUGGCACGUCUACGACGACAGCUGCGUGCUGUCCAAGGGCGUCACCGACCCGAACGCCACGAUCGACACCUGGGCCGGCAAC
rnacentral:tRNA from 1 species